GAUGAACGCUAGCGACAGGCUUAACACAUGCAAGUCGAGGGGUAGCAGGGUAGCAAUACCGCUGACGACCGGCGCACGGGUGAGUAACACGUAUGCAACCUACCCAUAACACAGGGACAGCCCGGCGAAAGUUGGAUUAAUACCUGAUGAUACAGGGAUACCGCCUGGUAUUAUUUGUUAAAGAUUCAUUGGUUAUGGAUGGGCAUGCGUUGGAUUAGGCAGUUGGCGGGGUAACGGCCCACCAAACCUACGAUCCAUAGGGGAACUGAGAGGUUAAUCCCCCACACUGGUACUGAGACACGGACCAGACUCCUACGGGAGGCAGCAGUGAGGAAUAUUGGUCAAUGGUCGAGAGACUGAACCAGCCAAGUCGCGUGAAGGAAGAAGGUAUUAUGUAUUGUAAACUUCUUUUCCGGGAGGGUAAAAUGCGGGAUGUAUCCUGUAUUGCAAGUAACCCGGGAAUAAGCAUCGGCUAACUCCGUGCCAGCAGCCGCGGUAAUACGGAGGAUGCGAGCGUUAUCCGGAUUUAUUGGGUUUAAAGGGUGCGUAGGUUGUACGGUAAGUCAGCGGUGAAAUCUUGACGCUUAACGUUAAAAUUGCCGUUGAAACUGCCGAACUUGAGUAUAGACGAGGUAUGCGGAAUUCGUAGUGUAGCGGUGAAAUGCAUAGAUAUUACGAAGAACCCCGAUAGCGCAGGCAGCAUACCAGGCUAUAACUGACACUGAAGCACGAAAGUGUGGGUAUCAAACAGGAUUAGAUACCCUGGUAGUCCACACAGUAAGCGAUGAUUACUCGCUGUUUGCGAUAUAAUGCAAGCGGCUUAGCGAAAGCGUUAAGUAAUCCACCUGGGGAGUACGCCGGCAACGGUGAAACUCAAAGGAAUUGACGGGGGCCCGCACAAGCGGAGGAACAUGUGGUUUAAUUCGAUGAUACGCGAGGAACCUUACCCAGGCUCGAACGGCUAUAGAAUAAUGGGGAAACCCGUUAGCCAGCGAUGGCUGUAGUCGAGGUGCUGCAUGGUUGUCGUCAGCUCGUGCCGUGAGGUGUCGGCUUAAGUGCCAUAACGAGCGCAACCCCUACCGAUAGUUACCAUCAAAUAAAGUUGGGGACUCUGUCGGGACUGCCACCGUAAGGUGUGAGGAAGGCGGGGAUGACGUCAAAUCAGCACGGCCCUUACGUCUGGGGCGACACACGUGUUACAAUGGGGGGGACAGAAAGCAGCGAGCGGGCGACCGUUAGCCAAUCUCCAAACCCUCUCCCAGUUCGGAUAGAAGUCUGCAACUCGACUUCUUGAAGUUGGAUUCGCUAGUAAUCGCGCAUCAGCCAUGGCGCGGUGAAUACGUUCCCGGGCCUUGUACACACCGCCCGUCAAGCCAUGGGAGUCGGGGGUACCUGAAGUACGUAACCGCAAGGGACGUCCUAGGGUAAAACCGGUAACUGGGGC
rnacentral:rRNA from 1 species